GAUGAACGCUGGCGGCGUGCCUAAUACAUGCAAGUCGAGCGAACGGACGAGAAGCUUGCUUCUCUGAUGUUAGCGGCGGACGGGUGAGUAACACGUGGAUAACCUACCUAUAAGACUGGGAUAACUUCGGGAAACCGGAGCUAAUACCGGAUGAUAUUUUGAACCGCAUGGUUCAAAAGUGAAAGACGGUCUUGCUGUCACUUAUAGAUGGAUCCGCGCUGCAUCAGCUAGUUGGUAAGGUAACGGCUUACCAAGGCAACGAUGCAUAGCCGACCUGAGAGGGUGAUCGGCCACACUGGAACUGAGACACGGUCCAGACUCCUACGGGAGGCAGCAGUAGGGAAUCUUCCGCAAUGGGCGAAAGCCUGACGGAGCAACGCCGCGUGAGUGAUGAAGGUCUUCGGAUCGUAAAACUCUGUUAUUAGGGAAGAACAUAUGUGUAAGUAACUGUGCACAUCUUGACGUUACCUAAUCAGAAAGCCACGGCUAACUACGUG
rnacentral:rRNA from 1 species